ACGCGAGAGACCCGCCCCGCGAGCCACUGUCACGAGAACAGCACGGUAGAGACUCGCCCCGUGAUCUACUGUCAUGGGAACAGCACGGGAGAGACGCGCCCCGUGAGCCACUCUCAGGAGAACAGCACGGGAGAGACGCGCCCCGUGAGCCACCCUCACGAGAACAGCACGGGAGAGACGCGCCCCGUGAGCCACCCUCACGAGAACAGCACGGGAAAGACCCGCCGCCAUGACUCAGUCACCUCCCACCGGGUCCCUCCCCCGACACAUGGGAAUUCGAGAUGAGGUUUGGGGGACGCCCAAACCACAUCAGUUUGGCGAUAGGUACUGGUCAGAGCCGGAGACCAGGAUGACCCUGCGCCCUCCGCUGAGGUGUAGAGUGACCAGCGAGGGGAACUCCAGGGUAAAACAGAGUGGCAACCCCUAAGGACCUGGGGGACACACAGCACAAAGAUCCUUUAAUGAAGCAUUUUCAGAGUUUAGGAUAUUUCCAACAAAAUAUUUUCCCCAAAAGAUGUCUUUAAUAAUACUAGAUGCGUUGAUUUUAAGAGGGUCCUAAAGAGACACGUUUGAGUCACCGGUCUCUCUCCCGUGUACUGGUAUUUUCAAUACAUAAUGUCUGGAGCAGAGCAUGGAAAUGGCCUGAAAAUAGCCUCUCCUUUGCAUGCAGGAACACACAGAUGAGAGGAUGUGUCUUCAGGAGCAAGGGAUUUUGAAACAUAUUAAGAAAUCAGAAAUAAUCGACUUCAAAGUGCCACACACCUUGAUGACGUGCACAUCAGUGGGCAUUGAUUUUGUGACACUGCCAAGUACACAGCUCCUGCACCGGGAGACAGUGGAGCCAAAAACCUUAACUCAAACUUGAGGUCAAAGUCUAUGCUCCAGUUCAACUGACGAACAUUGGCAGCAGAAUCAGCUUGAACAGAUCUGGGGGAUCCCAGCCAAAGCCCCCACGCCUGAGUGUUCGGUGGCUCGCACAGAGAGAGCACACAGCGUUCACGGCUUCAGAGCCGCCUGCACGUUUGCGGAGAACAUCUGUGGGCUACACAGCCUGGGACUCCUCCUUCCUUUUUCUUUCUAGGGAUAGUCCCUGCCCGCUUCUUUUGAGGCCCUGCUCCUUCUCAGUAACUUGGAAUUGGUGUUGGCACCAAGGCUAGCAGGUG
rnacentral:lncRNA from 1 species